AAAUAAUACAAUUAAAUUAUUUUAGUUUUAAUUAAUUGAUAAUAAAAAAAAUUUUAAGAAAAAAUUUAUUAAGUGAAAUUUUAAAUUUUUUUAAGAUUAGUAAUUUUUGAUGAUUUAAUAAAUUUUAAUUUUAAACUAGGAUUAGAUACCCUAUUAUUUAAAACUUAACUUUAAAAACUAAAUUAGUAUUAGUUAAAUUCUUGAAAAUUAAAGAUUUUGGCGGUAUUUUAGUCUAUUCAGAGGAACCUGUUCUGUAAUCGAUAAUCCACGAUUUUAUUUACUUUUUUUAUAUUAAUUUAUAUAUCGUCGUAGUUUGAAUAUUUUAUAAGAAAUUAAAUAUUCAAGAUUUUUAUAAUAAAAGAAAUCAGAUCAAGGUGUAGUUUAUAAAGAAGGAGAAAUGGGUUACUAUAAUUAAAAUUUAAGAUAAUUAUUUUUAUAUUAAUUUGAAUAAGGAUUUGAUAGUAAUUUUAACUAAUUUGUUAUGAUGAUUUUAGCUCUAAAAU
rnacentral:rRNA from 1 species